UAGCUCAGUCAGUUGAGCAUAGCGCUAGCAACACUAAGGUCGCGGGUUCGAUUCCCGU
rnacentral:tRNA from 1 species